rnacentral:rRNA from 1 species
CCCUUAGAUGUUCUGGGCUGCACGCGCGCUACACUGAUACUUUCAGCGAGUCCACCACCUUGCCUGGGAAGGUGGGGUAACCUCUGGAAAGUGCAUCGUGAUGGGGAUCGAUUAUUGUAAUUAUUAAUCUUCAACGAGGAAUUCCUAGUAAGCAUGUGUCAUCAGCCCGUGCUGAUUACGUCCCUGCCCUUUGUACACACCGCCCGUCGCUCCUACCGAUUGAGUGCUCCGGUGAACAAUUUGGACUGCUUUGAUUCGAUUAGAAUUUGAAGCGGAAAGUUUAGUGAACCUUAUCACUUAGAGGAAGGAGAAGUCGUAACA